GCUUUUUAUUCUAAGCUGUGAACAGGUUUUUUUAAAAUCAUUCCUUCCUAAUACACUUGUGUAUCAUAGCUGAUUAAAACCAGCUAUGUAAACAUACACCUUUUUAUUCAUGUUAAUUACCAACAUCAGUGGCUAAUCUUUAUGUCUUAUUUAUCUUCAUGUUACAUUAGUUUACAUACCAGGAAGAGAAAGUGUGUGUGUGUGUGUGUGUGUGUGUGUGUGUGUCUAUGCAUGUAUGUGCAUACAGGCUGUGCCCUUUUCCUUCCUGUAUUUUAAAACGCAUUCAUUGGAUCCUGUGUCUCCUUUGGUUGUGCCACAUGGUACAGCCUUGGUCUGCCCUUUACAGUGUCACCUGUGUGAAGGACUAUCACAGUAACACAUUUGUGAUCAUCCCACUUGUUGAGUGUACAUCUCACCCUUUUCGUCAUUCAGCAGUUUCUGCUUCUCCUAUGAUAGGAUUGUAUAACUCGUCAGGAGGUUGAUUUUACCAUUCAUCAACUAAUGUCUCUGAAUUCUAUUCAGUGGUUGUGAAUGCUCUUUGGUUCAGACCAAGGAAAAGGAAAUCCCUCCCCUCUUUCAUAUACUUCUUGGUUUAAGGACAAGUCUCCUACAAGGGAGAGGAAAGGGAAAUGCUUCACGUUGGAACUGUAGUGAAUUAAUGGCUCCUGUCCAUCACUCCGAACCUCACAGCACCUCACAUACACAUUCCUUUUGUCUAACUGCCGAAGGUUCAGGUUUAGUUCACUUCAGACUUUUUCAUUGUCCAAGACCUCUCUUUACCUGCUUUGCAAAAACAAUGGAGUAACUAUUUUUAAAGCUUAUUUUUCAAUUCAUAAGAAAAAGACAUUUAUUUUCAGUCAAAUGGAUAAUGUCUCCCUCCUAUCCCUUAAUCCUCAAUGUUUGCUUGAAUCUUUUUUUUAAUUCUUCCCCAUACCAAUUUCCUGAUACUUUGGUUCUCUUUCCUGCUCAGGUCCCUUCAUUUGUACUUUGGAGUUUUUCUCAUGUAAAUUUGUAUAAUGGAAAAUAUUGUUAAGUUUGGAUAGAAAGCAUGGAGAAUUAAAAAAGAUAGCUGAAAAUCAGAGUGAAGAAAAUUAUUUGUGUAAAGUUAUUUAAAAACUGUAUUAUAUAAAAGGCAAAAAAGUUCUAUGUACUUGAUGUGAAUAUGCGAAUAUUGCUAUAAUAAAGAUUGCAUGGAGAAGUCUUUAUCAAGA
rnacentral:lncRNA from 1 species